NNNNNNNNNNNNNNNNNNNNNNNNNNNNNNNCGAUGUAGGCUGGUAGGAUCUAGAAAAAGCAAGGGGGAAAGCCUAUUCCUACGACCCACGGUGUGGCCGAACGUCCCGUCGGACCGCCCCUCCCAAGGAGUCCUCUUCCGCCGAGGCACCCUCUCCACCUUUAGGCAGCCCAGCCCACCUCGGGGCGACUCUGACUCCGAGGAAGAAGCCAGGAUUGGCCUCUUGGGUGUUUCCAUCUCUGGCGUCCGGCUCUAAACUUGGGGACCAAACAAAGCCCAUCUAACAUUUCCUCCACCUGAAAGCCUUUCACUGGUUUGAAGAUAGCAAGUGUGUACACACACACUCUCACACUCACGCACUCACUCACAUAUACACACGCACUCUCACAUGCAUGCACUCACUCACAUGCACUCACACUCACACAUGCACACUCACACAUACACACGCACUCUCACAUGCACAUUCAUACACACGCACUCUCAAUCACUCUCACAUGCACUCACACAUGCACACACUCAUGCAUGCACUCUCACAUACACACGCACUCACUCACACUCACAUGCACACUUGCACAUGCACUCACACAUACACUCAUUCUCACAUGCACUCACCCACAUACACACUCUCACAUGCACACUCAUGCACUCACACAGAGAUAUGCACUCACACAUGCACACUCACGCAUUCGCACACUCACAUGCACUCACACACUCUCACAUGCCCACUCAUGCACUCGCACACUCACUCACAUGCACUCACACACACUCUCACAUGCACACUCACGCAUUCGCACACUCACAUGCACUCUCACACACUCACAUGCACACUCAUGCACUCGCACACUCACAUGCACUCUCACACACUCACAUGCACACUCAUGCAUUCGCACACUCACUCACAUGCACUCACACACACUCUCACAUGCACACUCAUGCACUCACACACUCACUCACAUGCACUCACACACAUUCUCACAUGCACACUCACGCAUUCGCACACUCACUCACAUGCACUCACACACAUUUCACAUGCACACUCACGCAUUCGCACACUCACUCACAUGCACUCUCACACACUCUCACAUGCCCACUCAUGCACUCGCACACUCACUCACAUGCACUCACACACACUCUCACAUGCACACUCACGCAUUCGCACACUCACAUGCACUCUCACACACACUCACAUGCACACUCAUGCACUCGCACACUCACAUGCACUCUCACACACUCUCACAUGCACACUCACGCAUUCGCACACUCACUCACAUGCACUCUCACACACUCACAUGCACACUCAUGCACUCACAC
rnacentral:lncRNA from 1 species